rnacentral:rRNA from 1 species
UGCAGUUCGAGCGAAUCGAUGGGAGCUUGCUUCCUGAGAUUAGCGGCGGACGGGUGAGUAACACGUGGGCAACCUGCCUAUAAGACUGGGAUAACUUCGGGAAACCGGAGCUAAUACCGGAUACGUUCUUUUCUCGCAUGAGAGAAGAUGGAAAGACGGUUUACGCUGUCACUUAUAGAUGGGCCCGCGGCGCAUUAGCUAGUUGGUGAGGUAAUGGCUCACCAAGGCGACGAUGCGUAGCCGACCUGAGAGGGUGAUCGGCCACACUGGGACUGAGACACGGCCCAGACUCCUACGGGAGGCAGCAGUAGGGAAUCUUCCGCAAUGGACGAAAGUCUGACGGAGCAACGCCGCGUGAACGAAGAAGGCCUUCGGGUCGUAAAGUUCUGUUGUUAGGGAAGAACAAGUACCAGAGUAACUGCUGGUACCUUGACGGUACCUAACCAGAAAGCCACGGCUAACUACGUGCCAGCAGCCGCGGUAAUACGUAGGUGGCAAGCGUUGUCCGGAAUUAUUGGGCGUAAAGCGCGCGCAGGUGGUUCCUUAAGUCUGAUGUGAAAGCCCACGGCUCAACCGUGGAGGGUCAUUGGAAACUGGGGAACUUGAGUGCAGAAGAGGAAAGUGGAAUUCAAGUGUAGCGGUGAAAUGCGUAGAGAUUUGGAGGAACAC